rnacentral:rRNA from 1 species
GCAAGUCGAACGGAGAAUAACAUUAGUUUACUAAAGUUGUUCUUAGUGGCGGACGGGUUAGUAACACGUGAGCAACUUACCUCAAAGUGGGGGAUAGCCUUCCGAAAGGGAGAUUAAUACCGCAUGUGGUCUACGGACCAAAGGGUGCUAAUUUAUUAGCACUCGCUUUGAGAUAGGCUCGCGUCCUAUCAGUUAGUUGGUGAGGUAAUGGCUCACCAAGACUACGACGGGUAGCUGUUCUGAGAGGAAGAUC